UCUUAUCAAUGAGGCAGACCAUGGGUUCUCAUUGUGAUAGUGUAGAAUGUUGGUUAACUGUGGACUCCCUGGCUGUGUCUCAAAUCUACUGAUUC
ensembl:miRNA